UCCUUGUGGCUCAGCUGGUAAAGAAUCAGCCUGAAAUGCUGGAGACCUGGGUUCAAUCCCAGAGUAGGGAA
rnacentral:tRNA from 1 species